rnacentral:rRNA from 1 species
AGUGAACGCUGGCGGUAGGCCUAACACAUGCAAGUCGAACGGCAGCACAGUAAGAGCUUGCUCUUACGGGUGGCGAGUGGCGGACGGGUGAGGAAUACAUCGGAAUCUACUUUUUCGUGGGGGAUAACGUAGGGAAACUUACGCUAAUACCGCAUACGACCUACGGGUGAAAGCAGGGGAUCUUCGGACCUUGCGCGAUUGAAUGAGCCGAUGUCGGAUUAGCUAGUUGGCGGGGUAAAGGCCCACCAAGGCGGCGAUCCGUAGCUGGUCUGAGAGGAUGAUCAGCCACACUGGAACUGAGACACGGUCCAGACUCCUACGGGAGGCAGCAGUGGGGAAUAUUGGACAAUGGGCGCAAGCCUGAUCCAGCCAUACCGCGUGGGUGAAGAAGGCCUUCGGGUUGUAAAGCCCUUUUGUUGGGAAAGAAAAGCAGCAGGUUAAUACCCCGCUGUUCUGACGGUACCCAAAGAAGAAGCACCGGCUAACUUCGU